rnacentral:lncRNA from 1 species
UUGAGAAAUGUUAAAGAGUUGAAAAAUUUCCCAUCCCAAGGUUUUCCAGUUCUCUCUUUUUUUGUCAUUUAUACUUCCUUCUAAACAAAGUAUAUAAACUUGCACAAAGUCGCUUGGCUUUCAAGAUCCUGUAAUACUUGAGACCAGACACAAAGGUAUUCAUCCUAGACACUCACCAAC